rnacentral:lncRNA from 1 species
UCAUAGUCCAACUCUAUGGGGGUGCAUGAUUUGAGCCAAUCACCACCGUGGAUAAGAUCACAACCUUCAGUUGCCAGAAGUCUAGGGGAGUAGGUGAAGGCAUGUUGUUGCAUCUGCCAACUAAAGUGAGGUACCCUGGUAGAACUUACCAUUUGCUGCCCAUUUGCCACUCUUACUAAAAUAGGCUUUGCAGGUUCAAUUUCACAACCUAAAAGCUUAGCUGUUGUAUCCUUGAUGAAGCUGAGAGUGCUUCCUGUAUCAAUCAAUAUAUGCAACUUCUCUUGUCCCACUUCUCCAUACAAUCUCAUUGUAGUAAGGCCACCCUCUCCAGUGAUAACGUUAAGAGCCAUCUGAAUUUCUUCCAUGGUAACUUGUGGUACAUGUGUCUCUUCUUUCACCUCCAGUGCUGUACCAAGGUAAUUAGCCUCUUCUUCCUCAGUCAUAACCAUAUAGAUAAUUCUCUCUUUACAUCUAUGACCCCGAGAGAAAGGCUCAUCACAAUUAUAGCAGAGACCUUUAGCCUUCCUGGCUUCCAUCUCCUCUGUAGUUAACAGUUUAAAAGAUUUCUUUGGCAAAUUAGCAGGGGCCUUAGGAGAGCUUGAACCAAUGGAGUCUGUUCUCUUGAAGCUACCCUGGUAGUUAGGAUUAGUCUUCACAGGAUUCUUGAAUUUCUUGGCAAGUGCUUCCAAGGUAUGAAUUUGCUUCCUACCCAACUCGAUGGUGUGAGCCAAGGUUGUGGGCUCAAACAUGAGAAUAAAAGUCUGCAAUUCCUCACUGAGCCCACUAAUGAAACUAGCGAUGUAGUACUCCUCUGAAUAUGCACCCUUAUUAGUCAUGGACAUACAGGCCUUAAGUUCCUCAAAUCGAUCGACAUAUUCGGAGUAAGUUCCAGUACGUGUGUUUGAGUUUAUUAAACUCAGAGAUGAUUUUGGCUUCUUUUAAUUCCUCAAAUCUUGCUGAAACUACUUCCAUGAAUUGAACCCAACUGAUUUCAGACUCAUUUAUUGACAGGUUCUGGAACCAUUGCGCUGCCCUUCCUUCGAAGUGCAUAGAAGCUAAUGUAACUUUUUGAUCAUCAGGUAUAUUAGGAAUCAAUCUAAAAUACCCCUGACAUUUUAACAUCCACGAGCGUGGUUGAGUACCAUCAAAACGCGGAAAAUCCAGUUUAGGAAUGGGGCUAAUAAUGGUUGUACCUGAUUGAUCAGACUGAUUCUUGUUCUUGUAGGUGUACUGGGUUCUAGGGGUUCCGUCACUGUUCCAUCCUGGAGGUGGAUUACCCAAGAUAGAUCCUUCACCCCGAUCUGCGUUCUUCAGUUGUAACUGCAGCGACGCCAACGUAGCAGCAAGGUGAUCAAACUUUCCAGAAAAAUCUCCCAUCUGCUUCUUCAUUUCAGAUGUGACCGAAGAUAGUUGUUCUUGUAAUUUGAGCUCUGUUGAUUCUCUUUUCAUUGUUUCAGUAUGUAACAAUUGCUCGAAACGUUUCUGUGCCUCCAGCAUAUCCUUGAAUCGAGUAGCAUCAGCCAUUGAUCAAGGAUCGUGGCUCUGAUUACCAAUGUUAUGGUUUGUGUAGUAUUUCCAGAGGGAUUUGAUAGGAUAGAAGAAAGGGAAGGAGAUAGGAGAAAUUAAGAGAGAAGAUAUUUG